GAUGAACGCUGGCGGCGUGCCUAAUACAUGCAAGUCGAGCGAAUGGAUUAAGAGCUUGCUCUUAUGAAGUUAGCGGCGGACGGGUGAGUAACACGUGGGUAACCUGCCCAUAAGACUGGGAUAACUCCGGGAAACCGGGGCUAAUACCGGAUAACAUUUUGAACCGCAUGGUUCGAAAUUGAAAGGCGGCUUCGGCUGUCACUUAUGGAUGGACCCGCGUCGCAUUAGCUAGUUGGUGAGGUAACGGCUCACCAAGGCAACGAUGCGUAGCCGACAUGAGAGGGUGAUCGGCCACACGGGGACUGGGACACGGCCCAGACUCCUACGGGAGGCAGCAGGAGGGAAUCUUCCGCAAUGGACGAAAGUCUGACGGAGCAACGCCGCGUGAGUGAUGAAGGCUUUCGGGUCGUAAAACUCUGUUGUUAGGGAAGAACAAGUGCUAGUUGAAUAAGCUGGCACCUUGACGGUACCUAACCAGAAAGCCACGGCUAACUACGUGCCAGCCGCCGCAGUAA
rnacentral:rRNA from 1 species